rnacentral:rRNA from 1 species
AACGAACGCUGGCGGCAUGCCUAACACAUGCAAGUCGAACGGGAUCCUAGCUUGCUAGGUAGAGAGUGGCGGACGGGUGAGUAACACGUGGGAAUCUGCCUUUUGGUUCGGGAUAACCGCGGGAAACUGCGGCUAAUACCGAAUGCCCUCGAGAGAGGAAAGAUUUAUCGCCAGAAGAGGAGCCCGCGUCCGAUUAGGUAGUUGGUGGGUAAAGGCCUACCAAGCCGACGAUCGGUAGCUGGUCUGAGAGGAUGAUCAGCCACACUGGACUGAGAUACGGCCCAGACUCCUACGGAGGCAGCAGUGGG